rnacentral:rRNA from 1 species
GGGUUGUGAGGUUAAGCGACUAAGCGUACACGGUGGAUGCCCUGGCAGUCAGAGGCGAUGAAGGACGUGCUAAUCUGCGAAAAGCGUCGGUAAGGUGAUAUGAACCGUUAUAGCCGGCGAUGUCCGAAUGGGGAAACCCAGUGUGAUUCGUCACACUAUCGUUAACUGAAUACAUAGGUUAACGAGGCGAACCGGGGGAACUGAAACAUCUAAGUACCCCGAGGAAAAGAAAUCAACCGAGAUUCCCCCAGUAGCGGCGAGCGAACGGGGAGCAGCCCAGAGUCUGAAUCAGCUUGUGUGUUAGUGGAACGGUCUGGAAAGUCCGACGGUACAGGGUGAUAGUCCCGUACACCAAAAUGCACAGGUUGUGAACUCGAAGAGUAGGGCGGGACACGUGGUAUCCUGUCUGAAUAUGGGGGGACCAUCCUCCAAGGCUAAAUACUCCUGACUGACCGAUAGUGAACCAGUACCGUGAGGGAAAGGCGAAAAGAACCCCGGCGAGGGGAGUGAAAAAGAACCUGAAACCGUGUACGUACAAGCAGUGGGAGCACCUUUAUGGUGUGACUGCGUACCUUUUGUAUAAUGGGUCAGCGACUUAUAUUCUGUAGCAAGGUUAACCGUAUAGGGGAGCCGCAGGGAAACCGAGUCUUAACUGGGCGUUAAGUUGCAGGGUAUAGACCCGAAACCCGGUGAUCUAGCCAUGGGCAGGUUGAAGGUUGGGUAACACUAACUGGAGGACCGAACCGACUAAUGUUGAAAAAUUAGCGGAUGACUUGUGGCUGGGGGUGAAAGGCCAAUCAAACCGGGAGAUAGCUGGUUCUCCCCGAAAGCUAUUUAGGUAGCGCCUCGUGAACUCAUCUUCGGGGGUAGAGCACUGUUUCGGCUAGGGGGUCAUCCCGACUUACCAACCCGAUGCAAACUACGAAUACCGAAGAAUGUUAUCACGGGAGACACACGGCGGGUGCUAACGUCCGUCGUGAAGAGGGAAACAACCCAGACCGCCAGCUAAGGUCCCAAAGUCACAGUUAAGUGGGAAACGAUGUGGGAAGGCACAGACAGCCAGGAUGUUGGCUUAGAAGCAGCCAUCAUUUAAAGAAAGCGUAAUAGCUCACUGGUCGAGUCGGCCUGCGCGGAAGAUGUAACGGGGCUAAACUGUGCACCGAAGCUGCGGCAGCGACACUAUGUGUUGUUGGGUAGGGGAGCGUUCUGUAAGCCUGCGAAGGUGGCCUGUGAGGGUUGCUGGAGGUAUCAGAAGUGCGAAUGCUGACAUAAGUAACGAUAAUGCGGGUGAAAAGCCCGCACGCCGGAAGACCAAGGGUUCCUGUCCAACGUUAAUCGGGGCAGGGUGAGUCGACCCCUAAGGCGAGGCCGAAAGGCGUAGUCGAUGGGAAACAGGUUAAUAUUCCUGUACUUGGUGUUACUGCGAAGGGGGGACGGAGAAGGCUAUGUUAGCCGGGCGACGGUUGUCCCGGUUUAAGCAUGUAGGCGGAGGUUCCAGGUAAAUCCGGUACCUUUUUAACGCUGAGGUGUGAUGACGAGGCACUACGGUGCUGAAGUAACAAAUGCCCUGCUUCCAGGAAAAGCCUCUAAGCAUCAGGUAACAUCAAAUCGUACCCCAAACCGACACAGGUGGUCAGGUAGAGAAUACCAAGGCGCUUGAGAGAACUCGGGUGAAGGAACUAGGCAAAAUGGUGCCGUAACUUCGGGAGAAGGCACGCUGAUAUGUAGGUGAAGCCCCUGCGGGUGGAGCUGAAAUCAGUCGAAGAUACCAGCUGGCUGCAACUGUUUAUUAAAAACACAGCACUGUGCAAACACGAAAGUGGACGUAUACGGUGUGACGCCUGCCCGGUGCCGGAAGGUUAAUUGAUGGGGUUAUCCGUAAGGAGAAGCUCUUGAUCGAAGCCCCGGUAAACGGCGGCCGUAACUAUAACGGUCCUAAGGUAGCGAAAUUCCUUGUCGGGUAAGUUCCGACCUGCACGAAUGGCGUAAUGAUGGCCAGGCUGUCUCCACCCGAGACUCAGUGAAAUUGAACUCGCUGUGAAGAUGCAGUGUACCCGCGGCAAGACGGAAAGACCCCGUGAACCUUUACUAUAGCUUGACACUGAACAUUGAGCCUUGAUGUGUAGGAUAGGUGGGAGGCUUUGAAGCGUGGACGCCAGUCUGCGUGGAGCCAACCUUGAAAUACCACCCUUUAAUGUUUGAUGUUCUAACGUUGGCCCCUGACCGGGGUUGCGGACAGUGUCUGGUGGGUAGUUUGACUGGGGCGGUCUCCUCCCAAAGAGUAACGGAGGAGCACGAAGGUUAGCUAAUCCUGGUCGGACAUCAGGAGGUUAGUGCAAUGGCAUAAGCUAGCUUGACUGCGAGCGUGACGGCGCGAGCAGGUGCGAAAGCAGGUCAUAGUGAUCCGGUGGUUCUGAAUGGAAGGGCCAUCGCUCAACGGAUAAAAGGUACUCCGGGGAUAACAGGCUGAUACCGCCCAAGAGUUCAUAUCGACGGCGGUGUUUGGCACCUCGAUGUCGGCUCAUCACAUCCUGGGGCUGAAGUAGGUCCCAAGGGUAUGGCUGUUCGCCAUUUAAAGUGGUACGCGAGCUGGGUUUAGAACGUCGUGAGACAGUUCGGUCCCUAUCUGCCGUGGGCGCUGGAGAAUUGAGGGGGGCUGCUCCUAGUACGAGAGGACCGGAGUGGACGCAUCACUGGUGUUCGGGUUGUCAUGCCAAUGGCAUUGCCCGGUAGCUAAAUGCGGAAGAGAUAAGUGCUGAAAGCAUCUAAGCACGAAACUUGCCCCGAGAUGAGUUCUCCCUGAGACUUUAAGUCUCCUGAAGGAACGUUAAAGACGAUGACGUUGAUAGGUCGGGUGUGUAAGCGUAGCGAUACGUUGAGCUAACCGAUACUAAUGAACCGUGAGGCUUAACCUUACAACGCCGAAGGUGUUU